CCCAGUUGAGGCUCAAGUCUGAUGCUCGGCUUGGGUCCUGGCAGGUAAUAAACUCCUGUGUGGAUUUACUAUCAGUCUCUGGUUGGUUCUCUCUCAUUGGGUGCAACAUUCUUGGAGGCCCCAGCGAGACAGCCAGCUGCUCUGGAGCUUAUUAUCUUGGAGGAUUUGUUUCUUUUUAGGAGACCAGGAUCGGACAUCGGCAGUGUUUGGCCCCUCUGGACACCGGUCUGCGGAAGGAGAGGCCACCCUGACGGUAUUCUGGGACUCUGGGUAGGCCGGUCCCAGUCCCCAGUCAAGCCCUAUCGCCGACCAACCAACCCACAGGAGUUUAUGCGGGAAGCCUCUACAGGUGUAUAGCAUGGUGGCUGGAUAUGCAUAGACAAGAAAUGACCAUCACAGAGACAGGCUGUGAGAAUUAUAGCCCACAUUUGGCUGGGGUUGAAGCAGGGCCUCCAAUGUGGAGAUCAGCCUGACCAGGCAUGCUCUUUAUGCUCGAGACUGUAGCGGGUGUCCAGACGGGGUCACCCCAACUGUGAUGACCAAGGUGACCAUGAAAGGAGACUCUGAGGUGGGGCCCUUGCACAGGGUGUGGCCCCACUCAGAUGGACCCACUGCUUCAAGAUGUUAUAUUUCUUCUGUUUCAUAGCAGAAUAACACCACUUUUCCUCAGCCCUCUAACCAACAUAGCACAGAGAUGUAAGAGCUCAAAAUGAAUAAAUUACCAAGGUUUGAGCUGCCAUGACCCUUGGAAUACACAGUCCUCAUUUUUAUUUAGCUCAGAGUCAACCUUCACCAAGCACUUAGUGUGGCAGGCGAAGGCGACUCCCCUAGUCCAUUUGCCCAAACCAAAGCAUCA
rnacentral:lncRNA from 1 species